rnacentral:tRNA from 1 species
GGGCCUGUGGUCUAGUGGUAUGACGCGACCUUUACAAGGUCGAGGUCGGCGGUUCAAUUCCGCCCAGGCCCA